AAACUCAAAUGAAUUGACGGGGACCCGCACAAGCGGUGGAUGAUGUGGUUUAAUUCGAUGCAACGCGAAAACCUUACCCACCUUUGACAUGUACGGAAUUCGCCAGAGAUGGCUUAGUGCUCGAAAGAGAGCCGUAACACAGGUGCUGCAUGGCUGUCGUCAGCUCGUGUCGUGAGAUGUUGGGUUAAGUCCCGCAACGAGCGCAACCCUUGUCAUUAGUUGCUACAUUUAGUUGGGCACUCUAAUGAGACUGCCGGUGACAAACCGGAGGAAGGUGGGGAUGACGUCAAGUCCUCAUGGCCCUUAUAGGUGGGGCUACACACGUCAUACAAUGGCUGGUACAAAGGGUUGCCAACCCGCGAGGGGGAGCUAAUCCCACAAAGCCAGUCGUAGUCCGGAUCGUAGUCUGCAACUCGACUACGUGAAGUCGGAAUCGCUAGUAAUCGUGGAUCAGAAUGUCACGGUGAAUACGUUCCCGGGUCUUGUACACACCGCCCGUCACACCAUGGGAGCGGGUUCUGCCAGAAGUAGUUAGCCUAACCGCAAGGAGGGCGAUUACCACGGCAGGGUUCGUGACUGGGGUGAAGUCGUAACAAGGUAGCCGUAUCGGAAGGUGCGGCUGGAUCACCUCCUUU
rnacentral:rRNA from 1 species